rnacentral:rRNA from 1 species
GGCGGACGGGUGAGUAACACGUGAGCAAUCUGCCUUCAGCUGGGGAAUAACAUUGUGAAAACAGUGCUAAUACCGCAUGACAUGGCACCGGGACAUCCCGGAGCCAUCAAAGGAGUGAUCCGGCGGAAGAUGAGCUCGCGUCCGAUUAGGUAGUUGGUGAGGUAACGGCCCACCAAGCCGACGAUCGGUAGCCGAACUGAGAGGUUGAACGGCCACAUUGGGACUGAGACACGGCCCAGACUCCUACGGGAGGCAGCAGUGGGGAAUAUUGGGCAAUGGGGGAAACCCUGACCCAGCAACGCCGCGUGAAGGACGAAGGCCUUCGGGUUGUAAACUUCUUUGAUCAGGGACGAAAGAAAUGACGGUACCUGAAGAACAAGCCACGGCUAACUACGUGCCAGCAGCCGCGGUAAUACGUAGGUGGCGAGCGUUAUCCGGAUUUACUGGGUGUAAAGGGCGUGCAGGCGGGUCCGCAAGUCGGGUGUGAAAUAUCCGGGCUUAACCCGGACAGGUCAUUCGAAACUGCGGAUCUUGAGUACUGGAGAGGAUAGU